rnacentral:rRNA from 1 species
GUCGUACGCACUGGCCCAACUGAUUGAUGGUGCUUGCACCUGAUUGACGAUGGAUCACCAGUGAGUGGCGGACGGGUGAGUAACACGUAGGUAACCUGCCCCGGAGCGGGGGAUAACAUUUGGAAACAGAUGCUAAUACCGCAUAACAACAAAAGCCACAUGGCUUUUGUUUGAAAGAUGGCUUUGGCUAUCACUCUGGGAUGGACCUGCGGUGCAUUAGCUAGUUGGUAAGGUAACGGCUUACCAAGGCGAUGAUGCAUAGCCGAGUUGAGAGACUGAUCGGCCACAAUGGAACUGAGACACGGUCCAUACUCCUACGGGAGGCAGCAGUAGGGAAUCUUCCACAAUGGGCGCAAGCCUGAUGGAGCAACACCGCGUGAGUGAAGAAGGGUUUCGGCUCGUAAAGCUCUGUUGUUGGAGAAGAACGUGCGUGAGAGUAACUGUUCACGCAGUGACGGUAUCCAACCAGAAAGUCACGGCUAACUACGUGCCAGCAGCCGCGGUAAUACGUAGGUGGCAAGCGUUAUCCGGAUUUAUUGGGCGUAAAGCGAGCGCAGGCGGUUGCUUAGGUCUGAUGUGAAAGCCUUCGGCUUAACCGAAGAAGUGCAUCGGAAACCGGGCGACUUGAGUGCAGAAGAGGACAGUGGAACUCCAUGUGUAGCGGUGGAAUGCGUAGAUAUAUGGAAGAACACCAGUGGCGAAGGCGGCUGUCUGGUCUGCAACUGACGCUGAGGCUCGAAAGCAUGGGUAGCGAACAGGAUUAGAUACCCUGGUAGUCCAUGCCGUAAACGAUGAGUGCUAGGUGUUGGAGGGUUUCCGCCCUUCAGUGCCGGAGCUAACGCAUUAAGCACUCCGCCUGGGGAGUACGACCGCAAGGUUGAAACUCAAAGGAAUUGACGGGGGCCCGCACAAGCGGUGGAGCAUGUGGUUUAAUUCGAAGCUACGCGAAGAACCUUACCAGGUCUUGACAUCUUGCGCUAACCUUAGAGAUAAGGCGUUCCCUUCGGGGACGCAAUGACAGGUGGUGCAUGGUCGUCGUCAGCUCGUGUCGUGAGAUGUUGGGUUAAGUCCCGCAACGAGCGCAACCCUUGUUACUAGUUGCCAGCAUUAAGUUGGGCACUCUAGUGAGACUGCCGGUGACAAACCGGAGGAAGGUGGGGACGACGUCAGAUCAUCAUGCCCCUUAUGACCUGGGCUACACACGUGCUACAAUGGACGGUACAACGAGUCGCAAGCUCGCGAGAGUAAGCUAAUCUCUUAAAGCCGUUCUCAGUUCGGACUGUAGGCUGCAACUCGCCUACACGAAGUCGGAAUCGCUAGUAAUCGCGGAUCAGCAUGCCGCGGUGAAUACGUUCCCGGGCCUUGUACACACCGCCCGUCACACCAUGGGAGUUUGUAACGCCCAAAGUCGG